GACAGAGGUGCCGAGCGUUAGGCGGAAUCACUGGGCUUAAAGCGUGUGUAGGCGGAUUCCUAAGUACCUUGUGAAAUCCCACGGCUUAACCGUGGAACUGCUUGGUAUACUGGGUGUCUUGAGCCAACUAGAGGCAGUCGGAACAAACGGUGGAGCGGUGAAAUGCGUAGAUAUCGUGAGGAACACCAGAGGCGAAGGCGGCUACCUGGACAAUUGCUGACGCUCAGGCACGAAAGCGUGGGGAGCAAAAGGG
rnacentral:rRNA from 1 species